UUGCUUCAGCAGCACAUAUACUAAAGUUGGAACGAUAACAAAGAUCAGCAUGGCUCCUGCACAAGGAUAACAAGCACAUUUGUGAAACGUUCCAUAUUUUU
rnacentral:snRNA from 1 species